ACAUCUCCCAGAACUUCUUGUGCGCCUCCGAAGACCUCACUUGGUACCCGAGCAACACGACGCCGUCUUCGUACACCAAGGCUUCCAUGGCAGAAAUCAAGUGCUGCACUCCUCAUGUAAACCACGUCUAUUGCCAAAACCACGUCAAACGGGGUUAAAUGCCUGGAUCUGAUCCUUAUUGUUCCAGUACAACACGGAGUGCUUCAGAUUCUUGCAUAGCACGAGCUUGUUCACCUUCAGGUUGCGCUUUAGCGCCGGCAUCAUAGUGAGAGGAGCGGCGGUGAGAGAAGGUUGAGUCAGCAGCCACGCGACUCCACGGUGAGACAGCGGCGCACGGUGGAGCAGAGAACAGGGUUCCACUCUCCUUUCACGGGUUCUCCACUAUAUAUUUUGGGUAAUUUGAAGUUUUGAACUGAUUUUGGGUGAAAUUGGGUUAGGGUUAGCUGCGGGGCUUCAUCGAAUCGACGCUAUCCAAAUUGAUUAUGCGUCACAUUGAAGAGAUCGGACGCCAAUCACAAUUAUCUUGGCAAAUUGCAGCAAAUAGAAAAACCGCAAGUAAUUUCUGGCCGCUAUCCUCCGUGUUUCCUGUAGUGAGGGUGACUGCGGAAUUCUUGAUAAU